rnacentral:miRNA from 1 species
UAGCUCGCCCCACCACGAUACU